rnacentral:rRNA from 1 species
AACGAACGCUGGCGGCAUGCCUAACACAUGCAAGUCGAACGAGACCUUCGGGUCUAGUGGCGCACGGGUGCGUAACGCGUGGGAACCUGCCCUUAGGUUCGGAAUAACUCCCCGAAAGGGGUGCUAAUACCGGAUAAUGUCUUCGGACCAAAGAUUUAUCGCCUUUGGAUGGGCCCGCGUUGGAUUAGCUAGUUGGUAGGGUAAAAGCCUACCAAGGCGACGAUCCAUAGCUGGUCUGAGAGGAUGAUCAGCCACACUGGGACUGAGACACGGCCCAGACUCCUACGGGAGGAAGCAGUGGGGAAUAUUGGACAAUGGGCGAAAGACUGAUCCAGCAAUGCCGCGUGAGUGAUGAAGGCCUUAGGGUUGUAAAGCUCUUUUAACCGGGAUGAUAAUGACAGUACCGGGAGAAUAAGCGCCGGCUAACUCCGUG